CGGUGCGGGGCUCGCACCGAGGGGAUGCGGUGGUUACAGCAACUUGGGCCGUGUGAGAGCGGAGCCGCCUCAGAAACACGCAGCUGGUGGUGUGAGGCGGCCAAAACCCACCUCCCUCCCUCCCUCCAGAGACAUCUUACGGAUCGCGCUGCUCAGUUGUUGUCAGUAUUUCACCUACGUGUCCCUCCCACAGCCUCUACAUCUCUAGCCUAAAACACAAAAUUACCACGAAAAUAGGGCUGCCCGGCCCCUCUUCCCCCAUCUGCCCAACGCGCAGCUUUUUGAGCUUAAUUUAAGGUGAAUGCUGCGUGACUUGAAGUACCUCCCGGCAGGUUUUUUAAAGUGCUCGCUGUGUCCUGAGAAAGGGGGGUCCUGCCAAGUGAAUGGGCACACAGUAAUUGCCAACAAUGGCCAGUUCUUUCGGCGUGUCGAAGGCGCGUCCGCUGGUGCAGAAUGGCCGUUCUGUUGGUUCUCCCAAAGUGCACAGCCUGGAAAAAUGGUGGAGGCUGAGCAGGGGGUUUACUGGGCUCAGCUGGAAUUCAAGAAGAAUAAUAAACUGUGCUCCUGGAGGUGAGGAGGAUCCUCGCACGUUUUCUAAACACGCAGUAACCCAGCCUCUGUGUCAUGGACGUGAAUGUCCUCGUGUUUAUCUGACUCUUAAUGCUGCCUUUCAGAGCAGAACCAGGCAUGAAACUUCCUUGGCCAGCUGUCUUGGUUCUCUGCGGCAUGCUAGGAGCCUCUUCACUUUAUGGGCUAAUGGGCUGCAAAAAUCCAUUAGGAACAAGACAAGCCUAGCGUGUACUUCUAGCUGUCACAGGUGGCAAGGGUUAAUAAAAGACAUCCGUAUUUCUUGGAUAGCUGCAGAUAAAAUUUGGGCCUGCUAUUUAGGCCACUUUCUUUCUCCCAGCAGUGCUGUCCCACAUUCAAACUAAUUAAGAGCAAGAUCUGUGCUGUAUAACGACUGCCUGCCGGAGCAGGAUCAUGUUUAGGAAUUGCCCAGCCUUAAAUAUGUUGAUUGCUGAUGUCCUCAUUUACUGAGGUUCAUUGAGUUCUGUCAAGAGCUCUCUUCUCCGAGGACUGUAGUUCAAAAGUGAUGAGUACAAAUGCUGUCUUUUUCCAUCUCCUGCUGAAAAAGGUUUGAUUCCUCAUGUAACAUAUUUACUGUUUUAAUCUAGAGAUUUUCCUCCUCACGUCUGCCUCAGUAAUUAAAAUUACCAACGCCUUCCUAGCACAAAACCUAAUUUAUAUUCAGCCCUAAAUGAUAGUAUUGUUUUCCUAUUCAUUCUAAAAUAAUUGAACACUGAAUCUUUGGAAAGGAGCAGAUAUUAUGCACACUCUUUCACAGAGAAUAUAAGCGUGAAUUUCUAACCAGUGUCAGGAAGACUCUGUGGAUUUCCACAUGUGGUUUCCACACCUGGGGAUGCAUCACAGAAUCCAGGAAAGGCAGUUAAGACAUGCAAGUCCAUCCUCAGUUGGCUUAAAUUCUCUCUACAGGGGUCUGCAUUUGAAAUAUUUAUGAAAUGCUCGGUUCUCAAACACAGGGAAAAAAUACACUGAAAAGUCACUAAGUUAGUGUGUGCAACAAGCCAGAAGUGUAUUCCAGUAAUAGGAUCAGUGCAGACGGGACAAGAUUUGUAUGGAAGGGAAAAUAGACAAAUUUGGGGGUUUAUAAACCAUUUUUGCAGUUUUGAAGAAGUAGCUACAACACUAAAUACAACUUGGGAACAACUGCUUAGAGCUCAGAUAUAUAUAUAUCAGGGAGACCAGCUUAGACAGGAGAAGUAGAAGCUGGAACAGAUGGGAUGUGAGAGGGGGAAGAACACGGACUGAGAGCUGUUAAGUUCCUAGGACUUGAUGGUUUUAACUGUUUAAUGAUUUUUCACCUAACAGAAGGUUUCCUGUGUGGAAAGAAUCUUCCCAGAAGCACUUGUCCUACAUUUCAAGCACCCCAAACCACAAAACUCAUCAUUAGGAACAUUAUUCUCUGCGGCCCAAAACAGCAGGUCCAUUUAAACCCUGCCUGAGCAAGAAACAGAAAACGUGUUGAUGCCUACCUGCUACUACUGCAACAAAUACCCCCUGCCACCAACCCAUCAGCAUCCUCCGAUAUUCCCUUUGUAGUUCCAGGAAUGUAAUGUACUUUGUCCUGUGCAUCACCAUGCUGUUAGUGAGUGAAAGUUUCCCACAAAACAAAAACAUUCUGCUCCUGCUUCCAUCACCCACUUCUCUCUCUCAAACAACAGGCCAUCAGGUAUUUGUCUCUCCUUUUUGCUUAGCUUGUAAGUGCCAUUCUUCCUCCCACCCACCUGUAUGACUAAUAGCCUCUCUAUUCUGCAGAUACCACCUUCUUCCUUUCCAAGCUGGCUUAAUACCUUUAGGAAAUCUUACUUGAAAUUAAUAAAUCUUAAGCAAUCAUUCUUAAGUGAAAGCUGCAGCUUGCAUUUGUAACCUGAAGAAAAGCUUAUAGCAAAAGCCAAGAUACUGCUCCUUCUGUAGUAUUACCCACUACCCCAGUCCUGCACAUCACAUCCACAGGAGAAUAUCACUGUGUAUGUCUUGUUCCUGAAGUGUUCUUGAAGUAGGUAUUCACCAGGAGUGACUGAGAGAGAGGAAACAGGACUGGAUGCUACCUUUGCUUGGUUCAGUACAACAGUCAUCAUGUUUUUACGCAGGCGUAUUGGGUCUUUGUUGAAGGCCAGGCACUCUUCCCCUUUGCCAUGGAAAUUCCAUGAUAAAAGAAGUGAAAACUUAGACGUUAAAGUCAUACCUUAAAAUGAAUUUCAGCUUUUUUACUUCAAAACAAAGUCCUAUUAUUAAUUGGAGUUGCUACUAGUGGAAAUUAGGAGCUUGGCAGGAGGGAGGAGUACCAGAUUUUGUCCUCAACCUUCUGUGUGACUAGGCUUCAGAACUAGGAUGAUAAAACACUGGAAUUUUGCUUUCUGCCUAUUGUAGGUGCUUAUGGUCUCCAUCUUGCAUUGGUUCUACCCCACUUGCAUCGUCACUGUGCUGCUGUCAGCAGGGUGCUUUUUGUGCUUUUUUACUUGUUAUGAGGAGGGGAAUGAAAACAUAAAUAUUUGGGGAAAAACAAAAAGAACCAUGAAGCUGUCAAAUUAUUAAUUUAAUUAUGGGAAGAAAUGAAGAAAAAAGUAGUUACACUAUUUUCUUGUUUUCCUCUAAGUGAUUGGCAGAAAUAGGAUAGAGUAAAAGUUUCCACAGCAUUUAAAGAAAACUUAUGUUUCUAGAGGAAAUUGUUCAGCUUUAUAUCACAGACCUAUGCUGCAUACAGCCAGAAAUGCAAUACAACCACAAACUGAAUAUGUGGUAAGGUUAGUGGCCACCCAAAUGAAUGAAAUCUAAAGACAGAUGAUUACAUAAAUGUAUGUUUGUCCACUAAAUAAAAGCAAAAGAUAUACUCAGCUAACUACCUUUUAAGUUGAUGAUUUGAAUUUCAAAUGAGGGUUUAGAAGUCUGGUCAUCCUAGUAUGAUGUGGCAAGUUAAAUGUUGAAUGAUUUUUGUUUGAUGCUGAGCAUGAAUCUUGCCUGAUAAAAACAGUUAAGAUUUUUUUGAUUCACAUUCACUGAAACCUCUCAGAGUGACCUAGGGGAUUCCAAGUGAAACAGUACAGGUCCACAGUUUCAGGUACGUGUCAUUACAGCAUCUCUCUCCUCAGUGCUGGCAACACAUAUCACAUCAAGCCCUCACCGUGCACAGACAAGGAUGCUUGCUGGAGAAUCAGUAUGAACAACGUAAAUGCAGUGAAAUGAAGGACAGGUAAUUACAGUGUCAUACACCUGGAAUUGUAACAUAAAACAGGGUUCCUCCUUCCAUUGCCAUAUUAAAGCUACCAUAUAUUUCUGAUGAUAAAAUCCUUAAUCCAGGUAAUACAGACUCUGUAAACUAAGUUGUGUGAUCCUCAAAGUUGACACAAAGAUCUACAGACCAAAAUUCUGGAGAAAAAUUAUCUAGGCAAGACUCCCAAGCAGCUUUUACAGUUGCAUAGCAAGAUAUAUUUCACUUUGCAACAUGCCAAUGACAUAGCCAUCUUCCCCAAGGCCAUGAGCCAUAGCAUCUCAUAGAUUUAGUCUUGCCAGAAGAAUAAAAUCCUGAAAAUUUAAAAGCCUACCUUGAACAUUGACUGUUUCUUGGAACAUCUAGGAGGCUCUUGGAAACAUGCCCGUGCUGACAGAAAUAACAAACACAUGCAGUGACUGGCAGAGAAAAUCGGUAGGAGCUGAACACGAGCCCUAGGUGAUGGUGCCGCCAGAGUACUUACUUCAGUGAAGCAUCUCUUGGCUCUACAGCCAAGUGCCCAGAAAGUCUUUGCAGUGCAGAGGCAGUGGUUAUUAACAGGCAUUUGACAAGAUAUAAAGUAAUUCUCUUACCAGCUGGCCCAGGUCAUCUUAUCCUCAGAUUUCUCCCAGAUGCCUCUAUAUGUGCCUUUUAUUAAUUGGCUGUGUUAGUUUGUGAUUGUCAAUUUAGGUUAAAAUUGUACUGUGUUUGUAUUUGGGGGUUGUGGAAUGGGAGAAAGAGAGAGGAAAUGCAGCUCUAGCACUAAAGUCGGUGGUAAUUUACUCCUGCUGUGUGACACCUAUUGUAACCCAAACUAGUAUGGGCUAGGAAUAAAGAGCAAUCUCUGACUAGCACUCGUGUAAAUCAGACCCCCAGUAACAGUGAUUUUGUGUGCUCUAAAGAGGCACAAGGAGAAACGCUAGGCACAGUCAGAGCGGACUACAAAGAGUCUCUUCCUCCCAAUACCCACAGCAUUUUUUCCUUAACACUGUUUAUUCAAGAUAGAUUGAGUAUGUGGAGAUUUGAUUUUGUUUUCUUUUCUGUUCAGAAGAAAUGUAGAUGAUCCCUUGCAAAUUAAAGCCGCAUGUUGCCUGCCUUUCCUGACAUGUUCUGCGUCUGGGCGAGAGGCGCAGGGGCUGCUCUCUGCUGCUGCAAGAAGUUUUCCGGAGAACGAGACAAAGUGAAUUCUCCUACAGUUGCAUACAGCAUCUGAGAACAGCACAGUCUCUCCCUUGUUCCUUGCACACAGAGAUGCUGAUUUAAGGGCCUGAGCCUGCAAUCCUUACUCCCAAGAGCAGACCUGCUGCUUUCAUCGACGCUGGGGUAGUGAGAAGAGCUUUAAAAGGCUGGGAUGCAAGGAGGAAUUACAUAAUCAGUUUUAACUACUUUUCCACACUGCUUUUGCCAUGCUUUAAGUACCUUUCUUUUAAUGAAAUUACUCCCUAUUUACACCGAUGUGAAUGAAGUUAAGACCAUAUUUUCUGAAUUAGUAUUUCAAAAUACACAAAUGUAAAAGGUUUGUGUGUGAGGUUGGGGGAUAGAGCAGAGGAAAGAUUUUCUUCUUUGUCUUUUAGGUGUGCAUGCAUUUUCCAUGAAUGUUACUGAGAGAAUGAGCAGGAUGAGGUCAGAGCCGGGAGUAAUUCACAGCCUGCCUCUGCCUUUAUCCAUGGAAUGUGGCUUGGUACAGACUAGAAGAGAAUCUCAACUUUCAGUUUAAAAGAAAUCUUUUGGGCUUUUGCUUUACUUUGGAAAGAUAGCUUUAAAUAUUUAACCAGUGUAAACAGAGGCAAACUGCCCAGAAAGAUUGAAAAGUCCGAGCAACUAGGAUCUGCUUGUAAGCAUUUAUUCUCCCCUGAAUACAUUUUUCUCCAUAUAAGAGGAGUCAGCUGUAUUUUGAAGUGAAUUCUUUUCAGAAACUUUGGGCUGGUUUUGUGAAAGGAAUUUUCCUCAGGAUAGAGAAGAGCAGUUUUCUAGGCCUUCCCCCAGUUCUGCAGCUGGCUUUUCCAGUUAGAAUUUCAUCUGCUCUCUGAUCCUGGCUGCACAGCCACUGCUUGACACGCCAGCACCUCCAGGAGUAUUUAGGAUAUCACGCAUGGGCCCCAUAUAAACCAUCCUUAGCCUGAUUCCGCAGUGUUCAAGGAGGAGAAAAAGAAGCACUUCAGAAAGUGAAUGUUACCUAAAGGAUGAUGAGGUCUAACUCUCUUGUCACGGGUGGUCAUUCUGUACAGCCCCCAUAUGCAAUCACAAUAUACAGUCCAAACACAAAGCAUUCAAGCCUCUCAUCCCCCAGUGCCUCUGUCAGAACAUUAAGCCAUUGCACAUCAAUGUGCAUCUGGACUCUUUCCUUCUAGAUUUCAUGGUAACUCUGUUUUCCAUAGUGAACAACAUAAUUGUAUAUUUUUUUAGUGGAUUUGGAUUUGCCUGUGGAAACCCACACAUUUGCUAUUUGCAGGAAUGAUUAAUGUAAUUUUAGGUACUUUCAUACUGCACUGCUAACAUUAAGAAAACUAUCACAUAGUUCCCAGCAUGGUAGGCUAACAGGACAAGCCACGUCAUCUCAGUGCCCCAAGCGUUGUGUUCCCCUCUGGCUGAAUGCAGGAUCUGAAUCAAGGUUUUGUUCCAUACCUCAGACUCGGAUCCAAGUUGCCCUCAGCUAGGGCAACUGCUGGCUGUAUUAAUCUCUAACAUCCAGAAGAUUCUGGUCUGCUUCUGCACCUCUGUAUUUUCAGAGGAAAACACCUUUUUCCUACUGGUAUUGUUACUGGAAUACCACUUUUUCUGGGGGGUAUUCCAGUAACAGCACUGCAAGGGAAAGUCCAUCCUUACAUACUCUACCGGGAAAGUGAGGCAGAGGAGGAAUUCUUGUUUGUUCUUCAAGUCUGGACACUCAUGAGGAAUGAUGUACAUAAGAAUAAGAACACUGGACAGAAAGUGGGGGAGGGAAAAGAAGGAUUUUCUACCUCAUGACUCAUGUGUUAUCCUCAAUUAUUUUUGCAUUUAUUGUUAAAAUUCAAAAAGCACUUUACUGAUGUGAGUCUUUCGGAUAUUUUCUGUUGCUCUGCCAUUUUCUCUAGAUAGACAAAGACAUAGUAUUUCUGCAAAGUCAUUGAUAUUUUAUAUUUCUAUUUAUAUGUUUUUAUGAUUGUAUAGCUUCUUCUUGGAUACAUCUUGUCUUUUAAAAUGUGCAGAUUCUGAUUAAAAUAUGUUAAUAUAAUAUUUGCUUCAAGGUCUGUGAUAGGAUGCACUGUGCCUACAUGUACAUCCUUCCAAAUACAUAUGUAAUUGCAGUUUACAGUUGGAAGUCGAGAUCUUCCUUUUGGAGGAGAAAGACUGGCAGCAGGUUAUCCUGAACUUUAUCUAUACCACUGCCACGACAAGCAACACGGUUUGCUAAAUGGGUUUUGGAAGCACCAUUUAAUUUCUUCUUACACAUGAUGCAUUGAUUUGCAGUAACAGUUCCAUAGGCUGCUGUGAGACCACAGCCUUGAACUCCUGUCUCUGGGAUAUGCCAGCCAGUAUUAUUUCUGCCAUUAAAAACCUGUGUUCCCACAUGAAGUGUGAGAUAGCAGCAGAUUUAAAGAUGCUUCAAAUCUAAGCAAGCCUAAUUCUGAGACAAUGCAGCACUCAGACACUCAGAAUGCCGAGGAAAGGAUGUUUCUUAAACCUAAUUGUUUUGCCAUGUCUACUUUGCCACAUCUCUUUUUUUUUUUUUUUCCUUUUGAAAUGCUCAGCACUAGGGACAUGGAGCUUAAAGGCUUGUCUGUUUCGGAAAAAAAGUGCCAAUAUUAAACUAACCCCCUGUGUAGACACUCUUAUUUCAGUUUAAAAGUGCCUUUCAUGGAAUUAGCAAGUUGAUUCCUUGCUGACAUAAGCUUAAUCAAUAUGAGGCACUCAGGCUGAUGCAAAUUUAUCUCCAUGAUGGGGUUGCACCAAUUUCUCUAGAUCUCUUUCAAAAACCAUUUAGUUAAAUCAGUUGUUUCUUCAAAUGGACAAGUACGCACUCAUUGAAGAUGUGCAGUACAACAUUGUUGUGGGCUAAAAAAUGAAUUGUUUUAGUAAUAUGUAAAUAAAUCUUUGCUUUUGUACAGUGCUGCCCAUUAGAGUUCAUUAAGCUGCAGAUAUCAAUAAACUUGGAGCAGCUUCGCAUCGGUGUUCUUAAUCCCCGUUUUCUAAAUGCAGGAACUUAAACACAGAGAAACAAAGCGUGUUUCCAAGGUCAGGGAAAAAAAGUGUAUGGUAAAGCCAGAGAGAAAAUGGAGGCACAUAGUUUCAAAAAGAGGUCAAGGGACCUUUCAGGGACCUUAUACUUAAAAGGUGCUGGUGCCCGUGCUUUCUGGUAAUUGGCCCUUUAAAGUCAACUCACCAGAGCUGGACUGAUAUAUCCCAGAAUAACUAGUCUGUAAUCUCUCAUUUGAGUUUUGUAAAUACAGGACUGACUUCUUCUUUCUGAAUGAUGAUCCACCCUUGUAAUAAAAUCACCACCUCAAUAAAUAUUUAUUUCUAGUGGUA